rnacentral:other from 1 species
AGGCCCCUGCCGUGCGCGUGUUCAGUUGCAAGUUCUUUGAGCCAACACUUAUAAAACGGGAACCUUCUCUUGCUUUGGUGUGCAUGUUCUGUGUAUCACAGAAAAGCCUAAAGAAGUAACGAGGUGCCCACCUGCACGAACAGGUUCAAGAUAGCCUGCUGACACGGUACAAAGGUGGGGGUUAA